CAGAAAUGGUUUCUGUUCAGCAAAUCCACACCAGCAAUCCUCUUACAGCAAAUUUCCAAGAAACAUGGUUGGAUAACAGUGCUGGACCUAAAAAAGGUGUUGGCCCACGAUUGCCUCUCUCUCCCUGCCUGAGCUCCCUGACCAGCGUGCAUGUGGCCUCCAGGUGUGUUGUCUACCCCCCAGGACCUGCUGAGCCCAGUGGCUCAUGCCUGUAAUCACAGCACUUUGGGAGGCUGAGGAGGGAAGAUCACGAGGUCAAGAUAUCGAGACCAUCCUGGCCAACGUGGUGAAACCCAUCUCCACUAGAAAUACAAAAAUUAGCUGGGCGUGGUGGUGCACGCCUGUAGUCCCAGCUACUCGGGAGGCUGAGGCAGCAGAAUAGCUUGAACCUGGGAGAUGGAGGUUGCAACAUGCCACUAACUCCAGCCUGGGCGACAGAGCAAGACUUUGUCU